AUUAAACAAUAAAUAUUUGAUUAGGGUGCAGAGAGGAGCCUUUAGUGAAUGUUAUUUGUAGCAGGCCCCACACUUCUUUCACACAGUACUUCUAUCCUCUUAGUUUGUAAUGGAAGUUAACUCCUAAAGUUUAGACAGUUAGGUUAACAGUUUACUCCUUACAGCUGAACUGCGUUAGGAUGUACAUUAUACAGUACAGUACUGAUAUUUGUAUCUUUGAUUUCCAGAAACAAUAUACAAGAUGUAGACGGGGUAGAAACAUCAUCACAAGCAAGAGAAUGCAUUCAGGGGCAGCAAAUUGAAAUGAGUGAAGGUAGAAAUUUUAUACAAUGUGGAAAGAAUUUGAAGUGUCAAAGUAUUGCCUCAGUAGAAUCUCAGAAUAGAACUCUAAUCCAGUCAAAAGAACAAGAUUUGCACAUUUUCUCUGAUCCCAAAAAAUUGAAUAUUCCUGGUGCCAUUGUAGGACCUCCACCUACUGUGGGCCUAGAUGAGUCAUCUGUAAUUGUAUCCAAGUCUUCAGGAACCUUAGGUAACCAAUCAGAACAUAGGGAUUGCUCUGCACUAGCCAAUAAUUCAGAGAGUGUUAUUAGUUCUAUUAUUGACAGACAGACUGUUAACAUAAAUGACAACAUUAUGGACAUUACAGUCUCUAGCUCAACAACAAUAGAUCGUAUAGAAACUGAAAAGUCAGAACAUAAAAGUAGUUCAUUAUCCUCUGAACCUAACACUCAGGGGGAACAUGACAAAAGAACAGAACAAAUGAAGAACAGUGACACAUCUACAGCACAGACAAUAUUGAAUUCCAUUUCUAAAAACGGCUAUCACAUCCAAGAAGAAGAGGGACAGUUGGACUCCUCACACAGUUACUCUCUGUCACUGGAGCAAAUAAAUAACACAGACAACCCCACCCAAAACUUGUUUAAGAGUGACAGUGGAGGGGAAAAACUUGACAAUGAAGUAUGUGAACUGAAUGCCCUGGAAUUAAAAAAGAUGCAGUUGGUGAAGAAAGUGAAGAUGUUGGUAACUCAAAAAAAUAAUCUCAAUUUGCAGAGAGAUACUGUUAUGAAUAAUUUCUCUGGUGACACUGCCAAACUUGCCCACAUACUGAAGGAAAAUUCUCACCUUUCAAACAGAAUAUCUAGUCAUAUUCUCAAGAUUAAUGCUGAGAUCAAAUUUACCAAUAAAAAAAUUUGUGAUUUGGAAAAUAGCAGAAGUAGGGAAAAACCAUCUUUACUCAAAGACUCUUGUAUGGAUAAGAAAAAGACAAAUGCAUCUUCACAUUCUGCAUUACUUUCAUCAAAACUGGAGACUGAACCAACAGUCAACUUAUCAAAUUAUCAUUCUCUACACAAGCAUGAGACUAAAGAUAUUAGUAAAGGUCAGGAAUCACAUGUCUCAAUGCAGAAAAAGUCUACCAGUAAGGUCAAAGACAGUGAGAUUCAUACAAAACCUAAUGAAAUUUGCUCUCAGACAGAUUCAAGGAUGCCAGUAAUGACACAGAAAAGGAAGGUUUUUCAGGAGGAAGAAGGUGAUAAUACAGAGAUGUGUGAUGAGAGCCUGAGGCAGACACAACAUGCCUAUAGUGCGAGGGACAACAGUACUGCAAGAAAGGACUCUUACCAGGAAAAUAUAAAAGCUACAAAAACAAAGGGUGCUACAUCAGAGUCAUCAAAUACUCUCAAAAAGAAUUUGUGCCCAGAAAAUGAUAAAUCUGUGGUACUCAAGAGUUACAUGUCAGAUAUAUCAAAGGAUAUGAACACAUAUUGGUGUAAGCCAUGCAACGUGUUUUUUAUAAAUGUAUAUGGAUAUGUGAAACACCUGGAGUCAUCAAGUCAUCUAGAGAAACUAAAGGGAUCGGUGGUUGGAUUCCUGGUCACUCCCAGUUCACCCAGCUGUAAAUGGGUGCCAAAGUUUACAACUUGGGAAAGUAAAUCCUGUAGAGUACAGUACCAGCCAUGCUGCCUGCCUCCUUGUGUACCAGAGGCUUAGUAUACAGUGUGCUGUAUCCACACUGUCCCUAAUGGGCAGUCAUGCCCUUAAUCCUUGUCACUCAGUCCAAACUGAUUUACUGUACAGUACUACCCAAAUUUUCUCAAAGACUUUUAACCAUGUGUAGUCUCACACACACACAAAGUGCCUUUUGAUGAGUACUGUAAUGUUCUGCAAUAUCUGGUCACUUUUAGGAUGAUGACUGCUCGUGGAUGGAAAAGCUUCCAAACUACAAAAUGGAUCAACAACAAGAAGAUAUUAAUGAGAACCAACACACAUUAGGGGUAGAAUAUCUACAUUCCUAAGUCCUCUUCUGUGAGCUGUGUGAGAGACUCAUUUUGAAUACAGAAGAUGCUGUCCUUCACACCCAGUCCCUUCUUCAUUUCACAAAGUACAAGGUUU
rnacentral:misc_RNA from 1 species